UUAUGGGGUUGGGUUGGGGUUAAAGGUUAAGGGUUAGGGUUAUGGGGUUGGGUUAGGGUUAAAGAUUAUGGGGUUGGGUUGGCGUAAAAGGAUUUGGGUUAGGGUUAUGGGGUUGGGUUAGGGUUAAAGGUUAUGGGUUAAGGUUAUGGGGUUGGGUUCGAGUUAAGGUUUAUGGGGUUGGUUUGGGGUUAAAGGUUAUGGGUUAAGGUUAUGGGCUUGGGUUGGGGUUAAAGGUUAUGGGUUAGGGUUAGAGGUGAUGGGAUAGGGUUAUGGGGUUGGGUUGGAGUUAAAGGUUAUGGGUUAGGGUUAUGGGGUUGGGUUUGGGUUAAGGGUUAUGGGGUUGGGUUGGGGUUAAAGGUUAUGGGUUAGGGUUAAAGCUUAUGGGUUAGGGUUAUGGGGUUGGGUUGGGGUUAAAGGUUAUGGGUUAGGGUUAAAGCUUAUGGGUUAGGGUUAUGGGGUUGGGUUGGGGUUAAAGGUUAUGGGUUAGGGUUAUGGGGUUGGGUUUGGGUUAAGGGUUAUGGGGUUGGGUUGGGGUUAAAGGAUAUGGGUUAGGGUUAUGGGGUUGGGUUAGGGUUAAAGGUUAUGGGUUAAUGUUAUGGGGUUCGGUUCGAGUUAAGGUUUAUGGGGUUCGGUUUGGGUUAAGGGUAAUGGGGUUGGGUUGCGGUUAAAGGUUAUGGGAUAGGGUUAUGGGGAUUAAAGGCUAAGGGUUAAGGGUUAUAGUUACGGGGCGGGUGUUAACGGUCAAAGGUUAUGGGGUUGGGGUUAAAGGUUAUGGGUUAGGGUUAAAGGUUAUGGGUUUGGUUUAUGGGUUACGGGGUUGCGUUGGGGUUAAAGGUGAAGGGUUAAAGAUAUGGGCUGGGUUAAAGGUUAAGGGUUAAAGGUUAAGGGUUACGAUUACGGGGCGGGGGUUAAAGGUCAAAGGUUAUGGGGCUAUGGGGUUGGGGUUAAAG
rnacentral:lncRNA from 1 species